AUGACAAAAUCAAUACAUGUAUUUUUUCAAGCCACUAUCGCAGUACACGGUGAUAAACUCUAUAGUAUACAGUUGUUUUUUCGUAAUGUCUCGUUUUGCAACUACCUAUUCAACCAUUUACAUUCCACCAUGUCUAGAAGAAGAGGACCGUCCUGCAAAAAACUACAAAGAACCCAGUGUAAACAAAUGCAUGAAGUGUACUAAAUCGCAGGUGCCUAACGGAGUGAUAUCAGUGGACUCAUUGGAAUGCACAAAUUGCAAAAAAAUUGCGUCACGAGUGUUGUGUAAGUGUUAUUGUGUACAUAAGAAAUGUUGUCAUUCCCAUGAUACAUUCUGUAUGACCGAUGCCGAAUCUAUAAACUGUUGCAAACGUUGUGUUAAUGCAAUUUGUGAUAAGAAAUGUGAAACCCCCUGCUGCUCAAAGGACUAUUCAUGUAAAGCAAUGCAAAAAGCACGUGGAUCGAAAACAAAAUCAGUUUUAUUACCUGUUUGUCGAUGUCGUGAAACAAAACCGUUUGCCGACACUUGUCAAACGUCGGUAUCGGCAUUUUCUAAACGUCAAGAACAGCUGGAAAAGCUUCGCGAUACAUCAAUGAGAAGCAGUAGGCUGUGCCGAUGUAACUUGAAGAUCACGGGGCAAUAUUUACGAUAGAUAGAAUUUCGUGUUGAAACCAAACGACCGUGGAUAGAAAUUAUCAGUAACUCGAAUUUGGGACAACAGAAUGUAUUCAAAGAAAAUUUGUAAGCAAUCUGUUUGGAAUACCACAUAUCUAACUUCUUACACUGGUCAGAAUCCAUUACGACCGCCGGUUUCACCGAAAAAAGUUAAACCAUACGUUCCAGAGCAUCGUGAAAGAUACCUAGAACACAUGGGUACAAAAUCUCCAUUACAGCACAUUCCAUUCGAGGCUUCACCUAAGCUCGGCCUACAAUGAAUUAAUCAUUUGGUAAUGUCUAUUGUGAAAUUCAUUGUAAGCAAAAUCUAUGGAGCACUGUUCAUUUAUAUUACUGGAUGCUUGUUGGACGGAAAUAAAACAUAGUGUAGCAUAGUGGUAUUGAAAUUUUAAUGCAAAUAAAUGUCACAUCAAAACUAUUCACGUAA